GUUUUGAUAGUUUAAUAAAAACUUUGGUCUUGUAAACCAAAAAUGAAUAAUUUCUCAAAAUU
rnacentral:tRNA from 1 species